GGUGGCUCAGUGGUAGAGCACUUGCCUUACAUGCCAAAGGCCCUGGGUUCGAUUCCUCAGCACCA
rfam:Dipodomys ordii contig_59456, whole genome shotgun sequence.